GACGAACGCUGGCGGCGUGCUUAACACAUGCCAGUCGAACGGAAAGGCCCUGCUUUUGUGGGGUGCUCGAGUGGCGAACGGGUGAGUAACACGUGAGUAACCUGCCCUUGACUUUGGGAUAACUUCAGGAAACUGGGGCUAAUACCGGAUAGGAGCUCCUGCUGCAUGGUGGGGGUUGAAAAGUUUCGGCGGUUGGGGAUGGACUCGCGGCUUAUCAGCUUGUUGGUGGGGUAGUGGCUUACCAAGGCUUUGACGGGUAGCCGGCCUGAGAGGGUGACCGGCCACAUUGGGACUGAGAUACGGCCCAGACUCCUACGGGAGGCAGCAGUGGGGAAUAUUUCACAAUGGGCGGAAGCCUGAUGCAGCAACGCCGCGUGCGGGAUGAAGGCCUUCGGGUUGUAAACCGCUUUCGCCUGUGACGAAGCGUGAGUGACGGUAAUGGGUAAAGAAGCACCGGCUAACUACGUG
rnacentral:rRNA from 1 species